GAUGAACGCUGGCGGCGUGCCUAAUACAUGCAAGUCGAACGCACAGCGAAAGGUGCUUGCACCUUUCAAGUGAGUGGCGAACGGGUGAGUAACACGUGGACAACCUGCCUCAAGGCUGGGGAUAACACUUGGAAACAGAUGCUAAUACCGAAUAAAACUUAGUGUCGCAUGACACAAAGUUAAAAGGCGCUUCGGCGUCACCUAGAGAUGGAUCCGCGGUGCAUUAGUUAGUUGGUGGGGUAAAGGCCUACCAAGACAAUGAUGCAUAGCCGAGUUGAGAGACUGAUCGGCCACAUUGGGACUGAGACACGGCCCAAACUCCUACGGGAGGCUGCAGUAGGGAAUCUUCCACAAUGGGCGAAAGCCUGAUGGAGCAACGCCGCGUGUGUGAUGAAGGCUUUCGGGUCGUAAAGCACUGUUGUAUGGGAAGAACAGCUAGAAUAGGAAAUGAUUUUAGUUUGACGGUACCAUACCAGAAAGGGACGGCUAAAUACGUG
rnacentral:rRNA from 1 species